rnacentral:rRNA from 1 species
CAGCCGCCGCGGUAAUACGAAGGGUGCAAGCGUUACUCGGAAUUACUGGGCGUAAAGCGUGCGUAGGUGGUGGUUUAAGUCCGUUGUGAAAGCCCUGGGCUCAACCUGGGAAUUGCAGUGGAUACUGGGUCACUAGAGUGUGGUAGAGGAUAGUGGAAUUUCCGGUGUAGCAGUGAAAUGCGUAGAGAUCGGAAGGAACAUCUGUGGCGAAGGCGACUAUCUGGGCCAACACUGACACUGAGGCACGAAAGCGUGGGGGGCAAACAGGAUUAGAUACCCCAGUAGUCCCUGUCUCUUAUAC